UACUCCUACGGGAGGCAGCAGUGGGGAAUAUUGGACAAUGGGCGCAAGCCUGAUCCAGCCAUGCCGCGUGAGUGAUGAAGGCCUUAGGGUUGUAAAGCUUCUUUCACCCACGACGAUGAUGACGGUAGUGGAGAAGAGACGAUCC
rnacentral:rRNA from 1 species